GAUGAACGCUGGCGGCGUGCCUAAUACAUGCAAGUCGAGCGAAUGGAUUGAGAGCUUGCUCUUAUGAAGUUAGCGGCGGACGGGUGAGUAACACGUGGGUAACCUGCCCAUAAGACUGGGAUAACUCCGGGAAACCGGGGCUAAUACCGGAUAACAUUUUGAACCGCAUGGUUCGAAAUUGAAAGGCGGCUUGGGCUGUCACUUAUGGAUGGACACGCGUCGCAUUAGCUAGUGGGUGAGGUAACGGCUCACCAAGGCAACGAUGCGUAGCCGACCUGAGAGGGUGAUCGGCCACACUGGGACUGAGACACGGCCCAGACUCCUACGGGAGGCAGCAGUAGGGAAUCUUCCGCAAUGGACGAAAGUCUGACGGAGCAACGCCGCGUGAGUGAUGAAGGCUUUCGGGUCGUAAAACUCUGUUGUUAGGGAAGAACAAGUGCUAGUUGAAUAAGCUGGCACCUUGACGGUACCUAACCAGAAAGCCACGGCUAACUACGUGCCAUCAGCCGCGGUAA
rnacentral:rRNA from 1 species